UAGUUUCGUUGCGUGGCAGCAGAUAAGAUGCCAGAGUACUGUUGAGGAUUUUUCUGUCCUAAUCGGCGGACGAGCGCAAAUAGACCCCGGGGGAUUACUUUUCACAAGUGCUGUGAGCUGCGUGAUCCGCCGAGCUUUAACAAGCUAAGAUGUCAAGAGUCAUGCACGUUGUGCGGGAGGAUCUGGAACAGAUGAUGUUUUCCUUCGUAGAGAGCACAAUGAGACCCAGUUUGGAAUCGACAACCAUCAGUCUGACUUGUUGUCAUUGGUUGUGUCUGUGUUUAUAAAGAUAAGGCUCCACCAUGUUGCCAAACUCACUUCUCUUGAACUACAGAAAGGGAGCACGGGAAAGAAGCUCUGCAAAACAGUCCUCUUUAUCUUUAUCAUAUUUACAGUGUGUGAUUUAUAAAAUAUCUUAUAUACUGUAUAUUGAUUGAUUGAUUGAUUGAUUGAUUUUUACUGUAUAGCUUAUACAUGGUUAAAAUAAAGAAAAACAUUCUCGUCCGGACCAAGGUGGUACUCAGCAGUGCCAGCACUCAAGCUUAAAAUCCUACAGCUCAAAUGAAUCUGAGGGUAAAGUGUUUUCAGCUGUCGGCUCGAGAGCAUCUAGUCUGUCUCAGUUGGGUUCAGGCCGACAGAGUCAUUCAGGAAGCUAAAAGAGUUCUGCUGGACAGCUCGGAUUUUAGCCAGAUAUAAGAUAAAGAAAUCCUGGAUGAUGUAAUUCGACUUGAUGUAUUUGUUGUAAAGUUCAUGGAUUACUUGGCAUCCACAGCUAUCUGUGUGUUUAUUGCUUUGUCCAGCAUUCUUUUAUGGAGCAUCCUUUACCGCUGCAUGUUUUUGAUGUCAGAUCUUAUGCUACCUUAUGCAAUGUUACUAAACUCUUCAAAUGUUUAGAGGUUACUAAAUAAUUUUAAUGUUACUUUAUUCAGUUUUGUUUUAAGGUGGGAAAUAUCUUCAAUUUGAGUUUGUCUGGUAAACUUUGGUUUAUUGCAUUUUUCACUUGAAAAUAAAUAUUUUACAAGUGCUCA